GGGAGCGGCAGCGGGACAACGGGACUGGGGAGCGCGACCGCGAGUGAAGCGGGGCUUUAAUCAGCGUGCGGCACCGCUCCGCUCGCCGAGCUGUGCCGGGGAGCCGCGCUCCUCUUCUGCCUCGGUGAGGAGGUUUGGGCGGCCCCAAAUCCUCCACAACGCGGGUAGCGUCCCCGACAGCCGCGCCUGACCCUGACCCUGACAGCUCCUGGAAACCUGGGCGAGAGAGGCGGGGAAUUGCCGGCCUCGACCUUUCCGGCCGCUCGGGGGCCGGACCGGGGGACAGCGGCGCCGGGCGCUGAACUCGCCCCGACCCGGACGCGCUGAGGCGGGGGCCGAGCCCGGGGAGCGCCCCCGCCCCGGGGACCGGCCCCGCACCCGCGGCCCCUCAGCCGCACCCGCACCGCUCAGCAGAGUUCGCCAUCACACGGGCAGCUCCCCGAAAAAGGGGGAAGAACCGUAAGAACCGGGCGCCCUCACCACCUCAUCCCUAGCGCCUUUCUCUGAGGCUUUCACAAACUUGGUCCGGCAGCGCAGCGCAGACACGCGAACUGUUUUAACCCUUGCGUGGAUUUAUUACCAGUGACCGGCUCAACCGAGCUCACCCCGGGCAAAGGGUAGAACUCCUCUGAGCAUGUCGCAUUAGGGAAGCUCGUUUACAUCCCGGUGGGAAACCCAGGCUGCUGUGAUAUAAUUGGCAUUUUCUUCUCACCCCACCCAGUGAAAUCCCCAAAUCUUCUGUAAGGGCAACCUGAGAAACUCAGCCAAAAGGAAAGUGGUUUUCUCAAUUCACUCAAGAGUACAAGCAGCGCAUCUGCUGGGAACUAUUUCUUGUUCAACAAUGGCUCAAAAAGGAAGGAGAAGUGAGGAAACUGCUGAAUUGCAAAAGAUCAGCACUUCACUCUUCUCACCUUGUGACUUCUUGAUAGGAGUGAGAACAGACACUUUCGUCAGAUGCAACUUCAAAGCUACAAAACCAUAACCAAACUUAAAGAGUAGCCCCAACUAAAGGGGAGAAAGAAGAGCAAGUGAGAAGCAAGUUGCUAGUCAGCAUUCAUGUUCUUGCUGACAUCAGUGAGCUAGAACUGAUUCUGAGCAGCAAGAUCACUGGCAAUCAGUUCAUUCAUGGCCUAUGUGCAGAGUCUGCAGUCACAAGAAAUCAUCACUUUCAUGGUCCAGGAUGACAAGAGGAGCAGAAGCAUGAAAUUACCUUCAGUAAGUACCUCAGUUUAUCAUUUGCUCAGUACUGUUGUCCAUGGAUGAGCAAACUGAACAUUGGUCUAUAUGAUGUAAAAAAAGAAAAGUUGUAUCAGAAUUAAAUAACAGAAUUAAAUAAUAGUGAUGCUCUAAGACUGAUAACUAUUCUAAUAGAUUCAACAACAACUGGCACUAUUUCCAUUGGAAUAAACCAUGCCCAAAAUGCCAACCUUUGACCUAGUGAUCAGGUCUCAGAGAUGGAAGAUAGCCAAAAACCACACUUUUGAAGAGAGUUCAUAUCUUGAUACUUGUCCUCAAGACCUAAGAUUUGUACCAGGACACCAAAGAUGUGAUGGUCAUGUUGCACUGUCACAGGCCACCAGGACUCUCUCUCCAGCCAAGAAACCAUAAAAGCAGAUGUUGUCUGACAGCAGAUGAUGAAAGCUGACUGAUAUAAAUGUUAGUUACUGGAAGAAGGUUGCAAGAUGUAUUUUAGCUAAGACAGAAGUAAAAUUUACCUUCUUUAAAGGAAAGAUAACAUAUUAAGAGACCAUUGUAGAGAUCUGUGUA